rnacentral:tRNA from 1 species
GGGCGCUUAGCUCAGCUGGGAGAGCAUUUGGGUCACAACCAAAGGGUCGACGGUUCAAGCCCGCCAGCGCCCA